rnacentral:rRNA from 1 species
GGAUUAGAUACCCUGGUAGUCCACGCCGUAAACGAUGUGCACUAGAUUUGGGGGGUUUGACCCCUUCCGAGUCGCAGCUAACGCAUUAAGUGCACCGCCUGGGGAGUACGGUCGCAAGACUAAAACUCAAAGGAAUUGACGGGGGCCCGCACAAGCGGUGGAUUAUGUGGUUUAAUUCGAAGCAACGCGCAGAACCUUACCCGGGCUUGAAAUCCUGAGAACCUGUCCCAAAAGACGGGGUGCCCUUCGGGGAAUUCAGUGACAGGCGCUGCAUGGCUGUCGUCAGCUCGUGCCG